GCAUCUUGUGGUUUCCCGCUCCUUCUUGCACCUCCUUCUCCACCUUGGGCUCAAUGGAGGCAUCGUCUUGCUUCAAGGUUAGAGGCAGGCUCCGUGCUGAUGACGCCGGUUCGGAUCCUUCUUCUUGGAAGGUGCACUUUCCUUUGUCACGCGAUGAUGCACACUCAGCAUCCUCCAAAUAGGCUGCGCGAUCUGAGCCGUGCAAGGAAAUUUCACUUUCGUCUUUGUUUUCUUCAUCCGAGGUUUUGACCCACCGGGAAGCGUCAGAUGGUCGGUGCCUUUCACUAUGAGACAGCUCAGUGUGCUGUUCCCCUCCAGUGGUUGCCAAAUGCUCACCGUUCCAGCGAUACGGGUUCACCGAUUGUCCAAUAUGCCCGUGAUCUGCACUGUGAAUAACUGUGGAUAGAUGGCUGUGGGGCGUCGUUUCGGUAAAUCCAUCGGAUUCAGAAUUGCAAAGACUGUGUCUUAUUUCUCGAUGUUUUUUUUCCACUCGGGCGUCUGUGAUACGAGUGGCUCUACACCCGUUUAUCGCCCGACAUCCUUCCACCUCGCGGUCACUCUUAUAGACUGUUGAAGCGGCAAAGGUGCUGUCUGCUUGGGAACUUACUUUUUCACAGCCGGGGUGCAUUUUGCCUUGCGCCGCUGUGUGAAAGCCAUUGGUAGAGUUCUCCAUGUUCUUAACCUCGGGUAUUGCAUGUGCUUCAUCUGUACUUCUGAUCACUUGUGCGUCCACUUCAUGUUUCUUGUCCUCGCUAUUCUUGUGGCCACUUUCAUCAAUGUCAAAAGGGACCGUGCUUGUAGGAUAUCCACUCUCACGAGGCGGUACGACGAGGGGAACACAUCUGCUUUCCAUGUCGCUAAAAUUGUUUAAUGCCGGACAGAAAUCUACGGACUCGGUUGAGUCAGCAACUGCAUUGUUUACAGAAAGUCCUUCUCUGCCACAAAUAGCUUUCCUGUAGUGGCGUGCAUUCAUGUAGGUUGAGCAUCUGUUGCUCACACAAGAUAUGCUAGGUUCGAUCUUUUCCUCGGUAAUAAUGGAGUCAACCAGGCACGGUUUUUGUGUGUCGUGGUCUGAAUUUGUGUCACACGCUAUGCAAUGUUGGCUUGCAUUGGACGGUGCAGCAGCGUGCUUCCACGAAUCUGGCUGGUGUUCCUCGCGCAGGGUUUCGCAAAGAGAACUCUCGCUUCCCAAACGGCCUUCGUCUCCGGUGGAUUUAUCCGCCUUUCUCGUUCGUUGCCUAGAACACUUUGUUCCUUCUGUGUCCACGACCACAGUACAUAAGUCGGAUUGUAAUUGUAAGGAGUCUUCUGUGAGAAAGCGUUCACCCGCUGUUCCCCCGACGCCGUUUGUUCCGUGGUGCUUACCACGUCUCUUAUCUUUGUCAACCCCUAGCUGUUCAUGAACAGCAGGUUCAGACGCAUGCAUGAAAUUUCCAAACUGCAAGUCGCCUGGAGGUAACUUUGGCAGAAGCAGGCCCGUUUCGUCUAAACUAGCGGCCAGGUCAUGCUGUGGACUAUUCACGUUUGCUCCAGAAUUACUCUUUGACGUUGGAGCGUGAUUCCGGCAGUCAAGUCUUGCAAUCUGCGCUGCCUCCAUCCCUAUAAACAAAGCAACAUGUUCCAGCAUCCCCUUCUUGGUGUGGUUCCCCCAAAGACUUCGUCCGUUCGCUGCUGAUCCCAUCCACGCAACAGGCAGCGGCAAGCAGAGUCCCUCCCGUCGCCGUCGUCUGCGAUGCAACUGGAGGACAAGGCGCCGCCGCCCUUUGUGUAUGUGCCGUCGUCGAUUCCGUUUGUUCCACUUGCGUCUUAUUUCUAGACCCUGUCGUAGCAAAUCCCUCGUUCUCCGCCUUCUCGGUCACGUCUCUGCACACGAGGUUUGAAGCGCAAGAGGCGGCUUCACGUGAUGGUGAUGAUCUUGACGGUUCAUCCCUUGCAGCCGAUUGUCCUAUUCUCGUCUUUCGGGUCUUUGUUUGUAUCGUAUCAGUGUCUGCGCGACUCGUGCAGUGGAUAGAGGUCCUGAAAAUUCCAAGACGCACCACUCUGCUCUCACAAGGUGUCCUCAGUUCUAGGUCAGUCCCUGGCGUUGGUACUGACCCCGUUUCGUCAUCCACAACGGAUGCCCUGAGAAAGGCCUCCUGGCACCGAUCUCGCUCUGCACGCCAGGCAGUCUCUUCAUCUCCUUUCGCCUGUUUAUUUGCCUCGGUUUCUUGAAUGCCAAGAAAAUCGGAAUCUGACGACACCAGCCUGCGUACCCCGAGUGCAGUCUCGUUCUCACUCGACCACUCAGGUAUUUCCCCGACUUCGUCUCCUUGACGUGUCUUCUGCUCUCCUCUCGACGUGGUGUAUUCUGGCGAAGGGCUGUGAGAAGGCUUUCCCGGACACUGCGCAUCCUGAAGAGUUUCUUCUUUCGGAUUCGCCAUAAUUGUUCUCUCUCUGCCUUCACGGCUGCACUAUUCCACGCAGUUGAGGGGCUUGAUUCAGCCGUCUUGGCCUGGCCCUCACCAGGCACGGUCUGCGAAGUCUCGUGAGGCUGGGCGCUCUGGUCUCUUCUGCUGGUUUCUUCUUGUCUCAGCACUCCCAGAGCACCGGACUUUGUGCCGUCGGCUGGUCCAGGGUGGUCGAGGCGGCGAUUCUCUUCAACUGCUACGUCGGGCGAAGAAGCGGAAAACACAGCAGGCGAGGGUCCAGGGAGAAAAGAAGAUGAAAACGUAGGCCGCGGCACGCAUGGAAAGGACCGCGAAUCGGUUGACGAGAAGAUAAAACUUUGUUUGGGUUUUCCUUCGUCGCCUGUCUCUCUGGCGACAUAACGAGAUACACGACAGUCAGGGAUGCAAGGGGCGAGGCUUGGGGGUGCUGGCACAUGCGCCUCGGUUUGGGGGAGUGAGUGACAAGCGCGGGACGGUCUCUGCAGCUGCUGCCUGCUGAGUUUCCUUUUCUGUUCGAAGAGAGAGAAGGGAAGGGUGUUUGUUUCUCUUCCGCGCUUCCGUUUAUAGAGCGACGAAGAAAACGUGAGAUAUGCAGAUGGUAGGCUCAAGCAGAAGGGCAGGAGCGAAGGAGGAAUAACGUGGGGUGCGACCUGCAAAGGGAUGGAGAAGUUUGGAGGAACAACGGGAGGCGAGGUUCAAGCAGAAACGCGAAGCCAGGCAGAAUAAAACUCGGCUCCAACUCUUUGCAAAGGGGGCUCGGAAACUGGGUUACGCGAACGAUUCAGAGGAGCCGCAUGCACCCUGCAAAACUUGUGAACUCAGGCACGAGGACGAAGAGCAGGAGGCGCCGUUUUCUAAAGGCCCCCUCCAUGGGGUAGAGAGAGAAACGGAGAGAGCGACAGAGUGAACUACGGAGAGCACAGACGCGCCGGAAGCUACGUUUCUGGAGAGCGUUUCAUGUACAGAAAGGCGAGGGACUGGUUCAGCCCGAGCGAGUGAGCAACAUGCGCGGAAACUACGACGCGAACAAGGACCGCGUGAGUACCAGUCAGAGCAGGUCGAAAACUGAAAGUGAAGAGACGACUGAGACAAGACAAAGGAGGCGACUAGAGCCUGAAAGAUUGUCAACAUGCUCUUGUAGUACAGAUCUGAGACAUCCGCGCACUCGUAGAAAGCGACAUGUCAAAACUGAGAGAACGUCCUGCCUGGGGGAGGCGCCAGCGCUUCUGGAACAUACCUCUCUGGCGAUGCCCAGCCAGAAGGCCUGAACCGCAGAAGAAAGGAGAUUGCUUGCAGGAUGGAAGACGUCUUCUUCCGACAG
rnacentral:lncRNA from 1 species